UACGGAGGGUGCAAGCGUUAUCCGGAUUCACUGGGUUUAAAGGGUGCGUAGGUGGGCUAGUAAGUCCGUGGUGAAAUCUCCAAGCUUAACUUGGAAACUGCCGUGGAUACUAUUAGUCUUGAAUAUUGUGGAGGUAAGCGGAAUAUGUCAUGUAGCGGUGAAACGCUUAGAUAUGACAUAGAACACCGAUAGCGAAGGCAGCUUGCUACACAAUCAUUGACACUGAGGCACGAAAGCGUGGGGAUCAAACAGG
rnacentral:rRNA from 1 species